UACGAAGGGGGCUAGCGUUGCUCGGAAUCACUGGGCGUAAAGCGCACGUAGGCGGAUUGCUAAGUCAGGGGUGAAAUCCUGGAGCUCAACUCCAGAACUGCCUUUGAUACUGGCGAGCUUGAGUCCGGGAGAGGUGAGUGGAACUGCGAGUGUAGAGGUGAAAUUCGUAGAUAUUCGCAAGAACACCAGUGGCGAAGGCGGCAUCCUGGACCGGCAUUGACGCUGAGGAGCGAAAGCGUGGGGAGCGAACAGG
rnacentral:rRNA from 1 species